GACGAACGCUGGCGGCGUGCCUAAUACAUGCAAGUUGAGCGCUGAAGGUUGGUACUUGUACCAACUGGAUGAGCAGCGAACGGGUGAGUAACGCGUGGGGAAUCUGCCUUUGAGCGGGGGACAACAUUUGGAAACGAAUGCCAAUACCGCAUAAAAACUUUAAACACAAGUUUUAAGUUUGAAAGAUGCAAUUGCAUCACUCAAAGAUGAUCCCGCGUUGUAUUAGCUAGUUGGUGAGGUAAAGGCUCACCAAGGCGAUGAUACAUAGCCGACCUGAGAGGGUGAUCGGCCACAUUGGGACUGAGACACGGCCCAAACUCCUACGGGAGGCAGCAGUAGGGAAUCUUCGGCAAUGGACGAAAGUCUGACCGACCAACGCCGCGUGAGUGAAGAAGGUUUUCGGAUCGUAAAACUCUGUUGGUAGAGAAGAACGUUGGUGAGAGUGGAAAGCUCAUCAAGUGACGGUAACUACCCAGAAAGGGACGGCUAACUACGUG
rnacentral:rRNA from 1 species